AAAUAAAAAACAAACAUGAUGGGGACUUUCGACCAAGAUGGAGGCCAAGGUAGACACACUGUGCCUCCUUGCACAACCAAAAUAAGGACACCACCAAUUUAAAAAC